AUGGUGAGCCUUGUGUCAGAGUUCCUCGGCGGGGGCGCGGAUACGAUCGUGGCCAUCAUCGAAUGGACGCUCGCUCACCUCGUCAUCCAGCCAGAGGUCCAAGGCAAGCUGCGUCGCGAGGUUGACGCCGUGGACACGGUCUCCGUCGACAAGAGCCUCCGCAAGAUGCCGUACCUGCACGCGGUCGUGCUGGAGAGCCUCCGGAUGCACCCAUCGGUGCCGUUCGUCCCACGCCGAGUCCGCGCCGAGGACGCUACGUUGCUGGGCGAAACCACCGUGCCGACCGGCGACUUCAACGUGCGGUUUUUUGUGGGGGACAUCGGGAGAGACAGGAAGACAUGGACGGAUCCCGACGAGUUCCAGCCUGAGCGGUUCCUGGCCGGAGGCGAGGCGGAGGGCGUUGGGCCAUCGGCAGGUCCCAAGGAGAUGAAGAUGAUGCCGUUUGGUGCGGGGCAUGGGUUCUGCCCGGGCAUGGGUCUGGCCAUGGUGAACAUCAAGUGCUUCUUGGCAACGCUCGUGCGUGAGUUCGAGUGGGCGCCGCCGGCGGAGGGCGGCGGCGGGGUCGACAUGAAUGACCCCAACGUGUUCUUCAAGGUGAUGAAGAAGCCACUUUCCACCCGUGUUACACGACGCACCCGUUCCGUGUAG
rnacentral:rRNA from 1 species